GUGAGGAAUAUUGGACAAUGGGUUAGCGCCUGAUCCAGCCAUCCCGCGUGAAGGACGACGGCCCUAUGGGUUGUAAACUUCUUUUGUAUAGGGAUAAACCUACUCUCGUGAGAGUAGCUGAAGGUACUAUACGAAUAAGCACCGGCUAACUCCGUGCCAGCAGCCGCGGUAAUACGGAGGGUGCAAGCGUUAUCCGGAUUUAUUGGGUUUAAAGGGUCCGUAGGCGGAUCUGUAAGUCAGUGGUGAAAUCUCACAGCUUAACUGUGAAACUGCCAUUGAUACUGCAGGUCUUGAGUAAAUUUGAAGUGGCUGGAAUAAGUAGUGUAGCGGUGAAAUGCAUAGAUAUUACUUAGAACACCAAUUGCGAAGGCAGGUCACUAAGAUUUAACUGACGCUGAUGGACGAAAGCGUGGGGAGCGA
rnacentral:rRNA from 1 species